AACCUGCGGAGGGAUCAUUACUGAGUUUACGCUCUACAACCCUUUGUGAACAUACCUAUAACUGUUGCUUCGGCGGGUAGGGUCUCCGUGACCCUCCCGGCCUCCCGCCCCCGGGCGGGUCGGCGCCCGCCGGAGGAUAACCAAACUCUGAUUUAACGACGUUUCUUCUGAGUGGUACAAGCAAAUAAUCAAAACUUUUAACAACGGAUCUCUUGGUUCUGGCAUCGAUGAAGAACGCAGCGAAAUGCGAUAAGUAAUGUGAAUUGCAGAAUUCAGUGAAUCAUCGAAUCUUUGAACGCACAUUGCGCCCGCCAGCAUUCUGGCGGGCAUGCCUGUUCGAGCGUCAUUUCAACCCUCAAGCUCUGCUUGGUGUUGGGGCCCUACAGCUGAUGUAGGCCCUCAAAGGUAGUGGCGGACCCUCCCGGAGCCUCCUUUGCGUAGUAACUUUACGUCUCGCACUGGGAUCCGGAGGGACUCUUGCCGUAAAACCCCCAAUUCUCCAAAGGUUGACCUCGGAUCAGGUAGGAAUACCCGCUGAACUUAAGCAUAUCAAUAGGCGGAGGAA
rnacentral:rRNA from 1 species